GAUGAACGCUGGCGGCGUGCUUAACACAUGCAAGUCGAACGAUGAAGCCCAGCUUGCUGGGUGGAUUAGUGGCGAACGGGUGAGUAACACGUGAGUAACCUGCCCUUGACUCUGGGAUAAGCCUGGGAAACUGGGUCUAAUACUGGAUAUGACUUCUCAUCGCAUGGUGGGGGGUGGAAAGAUUUAUUGGUCUUGGAUGGACUCGCGGCCUAUCAGCUUGUUGGUGAGGUAAUGGCUCACCAAGGCGACGACGGGUAGCCGGCCUGAGAGGGUGACCGGCCACACUGGGACUGAGACACGGCCCAGACUCCUACGGGAGGCAGCAGUGGGGAAUAUUGCACAAUGGGCGCAAGCCUGAUGCAGCGACGCCGCGUGAGGGAUGACGGCCUUCGGGUUGUAAACCUCUUUCAGUAGGGAAGAAGCGAGAGUGACGGUACCUCCAGAAGAAGCGCCGGCUAACUACGUG
rnacentral:rRNA from 1 species